CUCUUGUCUCACACUGCCACGAGUUAGCUGUGUGGCCUGAACACCCAGCUGUCCCUUUGGGCCUUAGUUCCUUCCUCAGUAAAAUAAGAGGCAACUGAGACACAAAGAAGUUAAGUAAUCUGUCCCCAUUCAAGAGAGAGAACAUGGGCUCCACCUCUUGAUGAGGGAGUGGCAAACUUUAGGAGAGCAUGUGGGACCAGAAACAUUGUCGCAACCAUUUGUAGAAAAUACAGUCUAACACAUCAUACUCUCCUUCAGCUGUGGCUCCCUGGGGGUCUUUGGGCAAUGCCAAGAAGAUAGAAGCUGACCUGGCUCUGGGAAUCCUAGAAAACAACCUCCUCCUCCCUCCUGGUGUCCACCAGUGCUAACGGAAUAUGUCUCAAGCUCAGCUCAAAGAAGAAAAUUGUCACAAAGAUUCACACAAGAGAAUUGGAUGAACCAGAAGCAGAGACGCACUGUAUAGAAGAGUCCACAGAAUAUUUAGAACCUUAUGUAAAAAUCAGAAACUCCAAGAAUGCCAGCCAAGAAUUUUCUGAGGUAAGAAUUUUCUCAUUCCAAGCAAUGACCCAUCAGAGAAUCAAGAAGCUAAGGGAUUUGUGUCUAGAAUAGAUUUAUUCAAGUUCUGCUUGGGAUGACCUAACUUUAGUUGAGUUAGAAAAUAAAAAGUGGUUGUCAACCUAUACAUGGGUGUUUUCCUAGACAAGUAUUGUUCCAUGUUUAUCUUCAUGAAAAAGGGAAACAAAAGUCACACUAGCCAUACUUAGGAUUCGGAUCACAAAUUUUUUUUUCAUUUUAACAUGCACAGUAGAUCAGACAUAGCUUUGUUGUGGUCAGCACAACCUGGAUAGAAACAUAUUUUGAGUUUUUCUCUUAUUAAAUCUGUCUCUUUAAGUGUGAUAAAGCAGUUGAGAUAGAAAUCAGAUAUUUACUCCUCAGACUGGAGUAAAAUUUUCAUAGAGAAAUUUAGCUGACAAAUAUUAAGCAUUAUG